rnacentral:rRNA from 1 species
AUUGAACGCUGGCGGCACGCUUUACACAUGCAAGUCGAACGGUAACAGGCCGCAAGGUGCUGACGAGUGGCGAACGGGUGAGUAAUGCAUCGGAACGUGCCCAGUCGUGGGGGAUAACGCAGCGAAAGCUGUGCUAAUACCGCAUACGAUCUAUGGAUGAAAGCGGGGGACCGUAAGGCCUCGCGCGAUUGGAGCGGCCGAUGUCAGAUUAGGUAGUUGGUGGGGUAAAGGCUCACCAAGCCGACGAUCUGUAGCUGGUCUGAGAGGACGACCAGCCACACUGGGACUGAGACACGGCCCAGACUCCUACGGGAGGCAGCAGUGGGGAAUUUUGGACAAUGGGCGCAAGCCUGAUCCAGCAAUGCCGCGUGCAGGAAGAAGGCCUUCGGGUUGUAAACUGCUUUUGUACGGAACGAAACGGACCGGGUUAAUACCCUGGGCUAAUGACGGUACCGUAAGAAUAAGCACCGGCUAACUACGUGCCAGCCGCCGCCGUAACAC